GCCACGGGCGACCAACACGUACCUCCGCUACGUCGCGCCCCGUCCAAUGCUCCCUGAGCGCCGGGGGCGGGCCUGUGCGGCGCGUGGCUGGAACCUGGGGAAAUCCGCGCGGGCUUGAGCCAUGGCUGAAAGUGGCCGGCCACCUCAGGCCCGGGCCCUCCUGCAGCAGUGCCUGCACGCCCGGCUGCAAGUACGCCCCGCCGAAGGGGACGCCGCGGCCCAGUGGGUGGAGGUCCAGAGAGGAUUAGUGAUCUACCUGUGCUUUUUCAAGGGAGCUGAUAAAGAGCUUCUUCCCAAAAUGGACACCUCCUUCCCCCUUCCUGGAGUCAGCUUUGGAUCCCAUCAUCCAGAGCCUUCUCUCCCUGGCCACGAUAUCUGAUGAGUGCCUUCUGUGUGCCCAACAGUGACACCAAGUGUAUUGACAAAAGCUGAAGUAAGUUGGGAGUAGAGAGAUAAGGGGACACGGGUUCGAGCCCUGUGCCGGAGCAACUAAGAUCCCACAUGCCGCGGAGCAGCUAAGCCCAUGCACCACAACUACUGAGCCUGCGCUCUAGAGCCCACGACCCACAACUACUGAAGCCCGCCCGCCUAGAGACCAUGCUCUGCAACAAGGGAACCGCAGUGAGAAGCCCGCGCACCACAACAAAAAGUAGCCCCCGCUCACCGAAACUAGAGAAAGCCUGUGCACAGCAACGAAGACCCAACACAGCCAAAAAUAAAAAUAAAUAAAAUACUAAUAAAAUACUUUUUUUUAAUUAAAAAAAUAAUAAAGUGAGGAAACUGAGAUAUGAAGCAGUUUUCUCUAGGUCAAGCCUACUAAGUGGUGGAAUUAGGAUUUGAACACAAGUCUCCAGAUUUGAAAGCUGUGUUCUUUCCAUUAAUUAUAUUACAGCUUCUUCUUUAUUGUGACUUAAAAUCUCAAUUUGAGAUUGAACAAAGUAUAAUAGUAGUUGAGAGGUGAAACAUUUCCACCUGGUUAAAAUUAAACUGGUUGUUCCUCAGAGUUCUGUCCUUGUCAUUUUCUCUCUUUAUUUUUUCUCUUUCAUUGUAUUAGCUGUCCACUCAAUGUAGAAACGUUUUGAAUCUAGUGCUCUUGUUCUCAACCCUUUUCUAAGCUGUAGUCCUCCAUUUCUCCUUGGAUGCUCUACUGUCACUUCAAAUGUGAUGUGUUGACAAUUAAACUUAUUACUUCCUCCUAAGUUAAUUCGCUUAGUCACUUGGGCUCAAAGUUUGGAGCCAUCUUUGAAUCCCUUGUAAAAUUAAUGGUUGGACUCAAUGAUACAUAAUAUCCCUUCCAGCUCUAAAAUUCUAGUGUUGUUAUUCUUGUACCACAUACUCAGUCAAAAUGAAUCACUUUCUCUGCUUCGGCCAAGAACAAAUAAUUUUACGCUCAAAUUAUUUUCCAGAGUUAUUUCAGUAUCUUAUAGAGUAUAUCCUACUCAUCCAUUCUUAUGCAUUCUUCAAAGCCCAUUUUAAAUGCCAUCUCUUUCUAUAAGCCUUUCAUGAGCCUCCCAACUGGACUUCACAGCAUUUGCUCUCUCCUUCAGGAUCUGGAAUAUCUUUGUAUCUUUCUCAGCGUAGUUUACAGUACCCUACACACAUACACACACACACACACACACACACACACACACACACACAUUCUCUCUCUCUCUCUCUCUCUCUCUCUCUCUCUCUGUGGGAUAAGGAGGGUGCCUAGAGGGAUGCUUGGCAAGGGAUGGAGCCUGAGCAGGGUGGAGAGGGCUUACAGACAGGGCAUGGGCACAGGGUUUGGGAGCAGGGAUAAGGAAAGAGAAGGAGGGGCUUGUGGUGGCUAAUGUUGGGGUUUCAGAACCUUAGUGGGAUAAGGGCAGCAUCCUCCAAAGGGAGAGAUGGCAGCAAUGGGUGAUUGCUUAAAUAUAGGAGAGGUGUUCAAACAAGUAAAUAUCUCAAAGAUAAUAGGAUCCAUCAUUCUCUCUGUAGCAGAAAGGAGUUACAAAUGUGGAAGGGAGGAAACUAGAAUAAACUGUGUGAUGCUGGAUUGGAGGUUUUACUGUGAACAUGUGGUUUUUCAACAUACAGAGUUAAAUAAAGAAAUCUAGCUAUAAAUGUGUAUAUGUGUGAGUAUACAUAUAUAGAUGCACUGUAUAUGUGUAUGAAUGUACAAAUAUUCCUUAGCUACAAACCCUAAGACAGCCUGAGCAGUGAUACCUCAGUAGUAGUGAGCAUGCCUCGUGCUUCUAAAUUCCAUUCUUAGGGACGUUCCUGGUGGCUCAGUGGUUAAGAAUUAGCCUGCCAAUUCAGGGGACAUGGGUUCGAGCCCUGAUCCGGGAAGAUCCCACGUGCUGCAGAGCAACAAAGCCCAUGCACCACAACUACUGAGCCUGCGCUCUAGAGCCUGCGAGCCACAACUACUGACCCCGUGUGCCACAACUACUGAAGCCUGCGUGCCUAGAGCCUGUGUUCCGCAACAAGAGAAGCCACCGCAAUGAGAAGCCCGUGCACCGCAAUGAAGAGUAGCCCCCGCUCGCCACAACUAGAGAAAGCCCAUGCGCAGCAACGAAGACCCAAUGCAGCCAAACAUAAAUAAAUAAAUAAACAAACUAACUAACUAAAUACCAUUCUCCACUCAAAGGAACCAGGACUCCUGGAUAAAUGGCUGCAUCCAGGUGCCAGAAAGUAAAGGAGUACUCAAAGAAUGAUGGAGGUGUGUCAAAAGGGCACAGAAUAGUAAAAUGUUAAUGAAUAAUAUGGAUGGUGGGAUAUAUGUUAUAUAAAACUCUUUCCAAUUUUCUGUAUUUAAAAAAUGUUUUACAAUAAUACAUUGUGAAAGGAUUUAAAACACACAAAGACACAGAAGCCAGCAUGAAUGGGUGAAUCCCACUGACCAAAGUUGGGACAAUUUGAACUCCAAAAUAAACAAUGAUAAAUUAUAACACAUUUAAUAAAAUAGGAAACUGAAUUCAUACUGAUAGAAAUAAAUUAAUUGAAAGUUUGAUGAGAAACAAAAAAAUGUACAUAGUUUCAAAGAAUUUCCCCCACAAAAUACUUCCUAAUUACAAAGAGGAAAAAAGUAACUACUGGAGAAGCCUGGCAGACACUACCUUAUUGAAAUAAACACCCGUAAUCAGACAUUAAAAUCAUGUGCCACCUCACAGGAUGCAAUGAGAACAGAGCAUCACUUCUCUGAGAGUCCUAUCAAAGACAUCUACCCUGAAUCUAAUCAUGAGUAAGCAUCAGACAGAUGCAAAGUGAAGGCCAUUCUGUAGAAUAAUUGGCCAGGAAUCUUCACAAGUAUCAAGGAUAUGAAAGUCAAAGAAAGACCAAGGAAGUGUUCCAGAUUGAAGGUGACUAAAGAUACAUGACAAGUAAGUACAGUGCUUGAUCCUGAACUGAAUCCUUUCAUCAUAAAGAGCAUUAUUGGGACAACUGGCAAAAUGUAAUGUAUCACAUAAAUAUUUUGAUUUUGAUAGUUAUAUUGUGAUUAUGUAACAGAG